rnacentral:rRNA from 1 species
GUCCACGCCGUAAACGAUGGGCGCUAGGUGUGGGAGGUGUCGACUCCUUCCGUGCCGAAGCUAACGCAUUAAGCGCCCCGCCUGGGGAGUACGGCCGCAAAGGCUAAAAACUCAAAAGGAAUUGACGGGGCCCGCACAAGCAGCGGAGCAUGUGGUUUAAUUGGAUGCGACGCCAAGAACCUUACCAAGGCUUGACAUGGUCGGGAAAGCUGGAGAAAAUUCAGCCCUCCUUCGGGACUCGAUCACAGGUGGUGCAUGGCUGUCGU